CCUACGGGAGGCAGCAGUGGGGAAUAUUGGACAAUGGGCGAAAGCCUGAUCCAGCCAUGCCGCGUGUGUGAAGAAGGCCUUCGGGUUGUAAAGCACUUUCAGUGGGGAAGAAAGCCUUGGGGCUAAUACCCUCGAGGAAGGACAUCACCCACAGAAGAAGCACCGGCUAACUCCGUGCCAGCAGCCGCGGUAAUACGGAGGGUGCGAGCGUUAAUCGGAAUUACUGGGCGUAAAGCGCGCGUAGGCGGUCUGAUAAGCCGGUUGUGAAAGCCCCGGGCUCAACCUGGGAACGGCAUCCGGAACUGUCAGGCUAGAGUGCAGGAGAGGAAGGUAGAAUUCCCGGUGUAGCGGUGAAAUGCGUAGAGAUCGGGAGGAAUACCAGUGGCGAAGGCGGCCUGCUGGACUGACACUGACGCUGAGGUGCGAAAGCGUGGGUAGCAAACAGGAUUAGAUACCCUAGUAGUC
rnacentral:rRNA from 1 species